UCUACCUAGUAGUAUGGAAUAAUUGUUGGAAACGGCAACUAAUACCGUAUACGCCCUACGGGGGAAAAAUUUAUUGCUAUUGGAUGAGCCUAUAUUAGAUUAGCUAGUUGGUGGAGUAAUAGCCUACCAAGGCAAUGAUCUAUAGCUGAUCUGAGAGGAUGAUCAGCCACACUGGAACUGAGAUACGGUCCAGACUCCUACGGGAGGCAGCAGUGGGGAAUAUUGGACAAUGGGCGAAAGCCUGAUCCAGCCAUGCCGCAUGAGUGAAGAAGGCCUUUGGGAUGUAAAGCUCUUUUAGUGAGGAAGAUAAUGACGGUACUCACAGAAGAAGUCCUGGCUAACUCCGUGCCAGCAGCCGCGGUAAUACGGAGAGGGCUAGCGUUAUUCGGAAUUAUUGGGCGUAAAGGGCGCGUAGGCUGGUUA
rnacentral:rRNA from 1 species